rnacentral:rRNA from 1 species
UGCCAGCCGCCGCGGUAAUACGAAGGGGGCUAGCGUUGUUCGGAAUCACUGGGCGUAAAGCGCACGUAGGCGGAUUUGUAAGUUAGGGGUGAAAUCCCGGGGCUCAACCUCGGAACUGCCUUUGAUACUGCAAGUCUAGAGUCCGAGAGAGGUGAGUGGAAUUCCUAGUGUAGAGGUGAAAUUCGUAGAUAUUAGGAAGAACACCGAUGGCGAAGGCAUCUCUCUGGGCCGAUAUUGACGCUGAGGUGCGAAAGUGUGGGUAGCGAACGGGAUUAGAUA